rfam:Dehalococcoidia bacterium SM23_28_1 WORSMTZ_49725, whole genome shotgun sequence.
CGAUCGCCCGCGCCGAAUCCCUUAAGGGAACGGGGGACGAAAUUCUGGGGUGAAUCUCUCGCUGCGGCGAGGGUAGGGUUAGCCUUUCAACCCGAAUCCGUCAACUAACCUCGGAGGCGCACGAAAGGCCUU